rnacentral:rRNA from 1 species
UGGGGAAUAUUGCACAAUGGGCGCAAGCCUGAUGCAGCGACGCCGCGUGAAGGAUGAAGGUCUUCGGAUUGUAAACUUCUAUCAGCAGGGAAGAAUACCAUGACGGUACCUGACUAAGAAGCCCCGGCUAACUACGUGCCAGCAGCCGCGGUAAUACGUAGGGGGCAAGCGUUAUCCGGAAUUACUGGGUGUAAAGGGUGCGUAGGCGGCAAUGCAAGUUUGAUGUGAAACCUUGGGGCUCAACCCCAAGCAUGCAUCGAAAACUGCGUAGCUAGAGUGCAGGAGAGGAAAGUGGAAUUCCGAGUGUAGCGGUGAAAUGCGUAGAGAUUCGGAGGAACACCAGUAGCGAAGGCGACUUUCUGGACUGUAACUGACGCUGAGGCACGAAAGCGUGGGGAGC